rnacentral:tRNA from 1 species
ACUAUUUUGGCAGAGAUAAUGUAUUAAAUUUAGAAUUUAAUAAUAUAUAAUUUAUAUUAUAUAAAUAGUA